UAGGGAAUAUUGGACAAUGGGCGCAAGCCUGAUCCAGCCAUCCCGCGUGAAGGAUUAAGGCCCUCUGGGUUGUAAACUUCUUUUCUCUGGGAAUAAAAAGUGGGAUUUAUCCUGCCUUGAAGGUACCAGAGGAAUAAGCACCGGCUAACUCCGUGCCAGCAGCCGCGGUAAUACGGAGGGUGCAAGCGUUAUCCGGAUUCACUGGGUUUAAAGGGAGCGUAGGUGGCUUUGUAAGUCAGUGGUGAAAUAU
rnacentral:rRNA from 1 species